GUCUUUCUGAAAGUAGGUGGAGAAGGAGUCCUGCUUGUACUCAGCCUUCCUUUUUUCCUCCAGUCUGGGAUGUAGAUGAGAUGGUUGAAGCUCCAGCAGUCAUGGUGGAUCAUGAGGACACUCUGAGGAUGGAAACAAUGUGCUUGGAGAUUGAGUAAGAAAGACAGAAGGAGCUUGGAUCCCUGCUGACUGUAGAACUCUCCCUCACAGCCUGAAAUUACCUCCUUCCAGCCUUUUUUCACAUGAGAGAAAUGAACCUCUAACUUGUUUAAUCUGGAUUAUUCUGGGCUUUCUGUUGUGUGCAGUGGAACCCAAUCUUCAUCGAGUUCCCCUUCCCAAGAGUUCUGUCAUUUUUCCUGCAUUCUUUUUAGAUUUCAUAGCAUUUACUCUUUCCGAUAGAUGUGAAAAUUCUUUGAAAAGUUAACAUCUUGAAUAAUGAAAGACAGCCUGUGCAACCCACGCAGAAGUAGGAGCUUUAAGCAAAGUUUUGUAAAGAGGACUGCAGAACUUCUCUGUGUGUCUCGCUGGGACCUCAGAAUUUUUACCAGAAAAGGCAGGAGGGGACUGCCUGGUUUAAGCAUCUCUCCCUAACUGUGGUUUGGAAAAGUUUUUUUAAUUUGAGAAUUUAAACAGUCAAUACAAGGAUUAUUCCAACCUGGUUGAUCCAUGCUCUGAAAUGAGAACUCCCAUAGUUUAUCAUCUCUAAGAUACUAAAAUGCACAAUAUUUUAUAGAUCAAGGAAGGAAAAAUUCUGCCAGCUAUAACGAAAAGGAAACGGAGGUCUGGAGAAAUGAUGCAGGUUGGCGGCAAACCCAAGAUUCACCUGGAAAAAAUUCCAUUCUCCUCAAAAUGUGGCUAUCAAGGCCUAAGAUGAUCUUGGAAGCUGCAGGCUGAAGAUGGCAGGGCCUGAGUCCCUGAGCUACUGUGUGGAGUAGAGCCCCACCUCUUGCUGACCAGGAAUAUAGGCAUUGGCGGUUACACAGACAGUUGGGGAUUCUUUGAGCUGAAAGGGCUUCGAGAAGCUGCGGUAUCCAGCUCCCUGGCUGGACAGACGAGGAGGCCAAGGAGCAAAAAGAAGAGGUGACCUGUGACUAUAUGAUCACCAGGCAAGCAAGAGGCGGGGCCCAACUCACAGUACUGCACUCAUUUAGGGGUACAAGAGCCUUCAAGCUCCUUUAGUCAUUCAGCUUAUUUAUUUAUUCUAUUAAACACAACUAUAUUCUUAAUGUAUAUUAUUCAAGCCAUACAUAAUUAGUGGGAGCAAAAGGUGAAGUGUCCACUACUCUCCUCUCGAUGCCACUUCUGUUCCUCGACUACCGCAAUGAGACACCUGAAGCAAGAGGCAGAUGUGAUUGAGUUAAGGCUCUUGAGAUGGGGGAUUAUUCUAGAUGCUCAGGUGGGCCCCAAAAUGUAAUCACCCAUGUCCUUAUCAGAAGGAGGCAGGGGUGGAUUUAACACUCUCACCCCUUUUGCUCAGCAUUUUAUAAACCUAUGUGUAUUUGCACAAAAGUAGGUUGGUGUUCUUUUCAUAGACAAGAUCAUACUGUACAUAUUGCUCUGCAAAUCGCUAUUUUUUUUGUUUUUCUCUCCUUUAACAUCUCAGAAAUCUUUCCACGCUGGUGUACUGACACACACACACACUAUACAUAUACGCACACACACUAUACAUAUAUACACACACACACUAUACAUAUAUACACACACUAUAAAUAUAUACACACACACUAUACAUAUAUACACACACACACUAUACAUAUAUACACACACUAUACAUAUAUACACACACACAUACAUACACACACACAUUGUAUAUAGGUUGUCCUCUUUCGUUUUAAUGCUUACAUAGUAUUCCACAAUAGUAAUAAACAUCAUUUAUUUACACUUCUCCAUUAUGAACAUUUAGCUCACUUCCACUUUUUUGAUACUAUUAAUACAAUCAAUGUUUCCAUGAAUACCAUAUACAAGCUAUUUGCAUGGAUGUUUGAGAAAGUCUCUAAGAUAGAUGCUGGGGAAUGAAUUUGCUGGAUCAAAGGGUAUGUGCAGUUUAAAUUUUAAUACGUGCUGCCCAAUUAUUCUCUAAAAGGACUGAAGUCAUUCACAUUCCCACCAGCGGUGUUAGAGGCUUUUCUAGGUAGGCAGACAACUUUGCUGAUGAUUUUAUAUCAAGGGCCUCACUUUAAAAGAUUAUAUUUAGACACCAUCACAGGAUCUUUUAAAAACAAACCCUUAAAAUAUUAUGCAAUCAUCACUUCCUUUGUGGAAAAAAUUAGAAAAAGUGGGAAAUAUAUAUGAAUAUAAUAAAAGUAAAAAUCGUCCAGUGAUGAUCGCAUUAGUGAGCUUUUCUUCUAGACUUUCUGUAGGGAGAACAUACAUUUACAUAAUACAGGCCUAGGAUCACAUUAUUAUAUAUACUGUUCGUAGUUGACUGUUUACAUUUAAUGGUGUAUAGCGGAGCCCUGCCCAUUGAACUGACUACAAAUCGACGUAAUGUUUCAAUGGUUUAUAAUAUUUUUUAAUCCCCUAUUGUUGGGCACAAGCGUUUCUAGGUUUUUGCCAUUGUAGAAGAUGCAGUCAUGACUUCUGCUCUCAGAUCUGUGUGUGCUUGCUUUGUGUCUCCCAUGUAUUUCAUCUCUGUUUUCUGCUGCUCUGCUGUUCCAGAGCCUCUUCAAGAUACUGGAAACGUGACGCUGCCUCAGAUUUUAAGACUCUGAGGCUUACCACUAGUGCGUCACUGGCUUUGGGGUGAUGCUCAUUUACCCCACCUCUGAGAGUGUGUGUGCGUGCGUGUGUGUGUGUGUGUGUGUGUGAGAGAGAGAGAGAGACAGGGUCUCACUCAGUUGCCCAGGCUGAUGCACAGUGGUGGUAUCACAGCUUACUGCAGCCUUGACCUCCCAAGGUCAAGCAAUCCUCCCACUUCAGCUUCCCGAGUAGCUGAGAUGACAGGUGCAUGCCAUACCUGGGUAAUUUUGUAUAUUUUUUAUAGAGACAGGGUUUCACUGUGUUGCCCAGGCUGGUCUCAAACUCCUAGUCUCAAGCGACCCACCCGCCUCAGCCUCCCAGAAUGCCGGAUCACACCUGUAAUCCCAGCACCCCCCUCCACUCUCAAUGUACGUCCAUCAAGGAUUCUUCCUCCCAGCCACUACCUUGGACUGCCCUGAUCUCCUAAGAUGACAAAAACUCACCUCUGCCCAGAGAGGUCUGUAUCAGUUUCUGGGGCUGCUGGAACAAAAUACUAUAAACCAGUGGCUUAAACCAGCAAAAAUUAUUCUGUCACAGUUCUGGAGGUCGGAAGUCCAAAAUCAAGGUGUUGGCAGGGCCGCACAUCCUCCAAAAGAUCUAGAUGAGAAUCUGUCCUUGCCUGUUCCAGCUUCUGGCGGCUCCUGGAGUUUCCUGGUGUUCCGUGGCUCAUGGCAGCAUCAUUCCAAUCUCCGCCUCUGUCUUCACACGGCCUUCUCGGCAUCUGUUCUCUUUUCUGUGUCUCUUGUAAGGACCCACCAUUAGAGUUAGGACCCACCUGGAUAAUACAGGAUCUUGAGAUCCUUCAGUGAAUUACAUCUGCAAAGACCCUUUUUACAAAUAAGGUCCACAUUCAGAGCAGGCAUCAGGAUGUGGACACAGCUUUUUGGGAGUCACUGUUCAAUCCACCAUGAAACCCCCCCUGUGGCUGCCUUCCAUACUAGUGCCUCCCGCCAUCUUUACCCACCUACCCCUCGCCCUGUGAGCAGACAAAGCACCUUCUCAAACCACGCUGUUCUGGGGCUUUUGGUUCUGAAGGCCUUUGAAGCUGCAGACUUUGGGGCUACUCCUCAAACCCUGGUCAGAGGAUGAGACCCAGUGUUGGGGCAUCCCAGUCACCUACAUGCUUCUCAGAGCAGGUCUUAACUAUUUGUCUCCUUCAAGGGCUGUUUCUAGACUUGCCUCUUCAUCCAGCCUUCCCACCAGGCAUCACAGCCCGAGGCAUCCGGCCAAGACGGCUGGGGCCCCGAGUCUCUCAGCCAAGCAGGAAUGGCGCCCACCAAGAUAUUAAGGCCAUGCAUUAGAAAGCACAGGCCCAGAAGGUAAUCAAAAGUAAUGUGGCUUUGCUCACAUUUCAGAGCUUCCGUUCCUCUUUUGAAUCUCCCGGACCUUGGCAAAUCUCCAUUCUUUACGGGUAGAUUUGAUUUUUAGAAACAGUCAGUAGCCAUGGGGGACUAAAGCAGCUCCUGAGAUGGAUGACGAAAAGCUGGAGAAACCAUUUGGAGUCAAGAAGGAUG